CACGUAGGGGGCAAGCGUUGUCCGGAUUUAUUGGGCGUAAAGAGCUCGUAGGUGGUUCGGUAAGUCGGGUGUUAAACCCCCAGGCUCAACCUGGGGACGCCACUCGAUACUGCUGUGACUAGAGUCCGGUAGGGGAGCGUGGAAUUCCUGGUGUAGCGGUGAAAUGCGCAGAUAUCAGGAGGAACACCAGCGGCGAAGGCGGCGCUCUGGGCCGGUACUGACACUGAGGAGCGAAAGCGUGGGGAGCGAACAGGA
rnacentral:rRNA from 1 species